CCUAUGUGUGGCAGCAGUGGGGAAUAUUGCACCAUGGGGGAAACCCUGAUGCAGCGACGCCGCGUGAAGGAAGCAGUAUCUCGGUAUGUAAACUUCUAUCAGCAGGGAAGAACUUGACGGUCCCUGUCUAAGAAGCCCCGGCUAACUACGGGCCAGCAGCCGCGGCAAUACGUAGGGGGCAAGCGUUAUCCGGAUUUACGGGGUGGAAAGGGAGCGUAGACGGAAGAGCAAGUCUGAUGUGAAUGGCUGGGGCUUAACCCCAGGACUGCAUUGGAAACUGUUUUUCUAGAGUGACGGAGAGGUAAGCGGAAUUCCUAGUGUAGAGGUGAAAUGCGUAGAUAUUAGGAGGAACACCAGUGGCGAAGGCGGCUUACUGGACGGUAACUGACGUUGAGGCUCGAAAGCGUGGGGAGCAAACAGGAUUAGAUACCCCUGUAGUC
rnacentral:rRNA from 1 species